AUUGAACGCUGGCGGCAUGCCUUACACAUGCAAGUCGAACGGUAACGCGGGGCAACCUGGCGACGAGUGGCGAACGGGUGAGUAAUACAUCGGAACGUGCCCAGUAGUGGGGGAUAGCCCGGCGAAAGCCGGAUUAAUACCGCAUACGACCUACGGGUGAAAGCGGGGGAUCGCAAGACCUCGCGCUAUUGGAGCGGCCGAUGUCAGAUUAGGUAGUUGGUGGGGUAAAGGCCUACCAAGCCUACGAUCUGUAGCUGGUCUGAGAGGACGACCAGCCACACUGGGACUGAGACACGGCCCAGACUCCUACGGGAGGCAGCAGUGGGGAAUUUUGGACAAUGGGCGCAAGCCUGAUCCAGCCAUGCCGCGUGCGGGAAGAAGGCCUUCGGGUUGUAAACCGCUUUUGUCAGGGAAGAAACGCUCUGGGUUAAUACCCCGGGGUAAUGACGGUACCUGAAGAAUAAGCACCGGCUAACUACGUGCCAGCAGCCGCCGUAAGAC
rnacentral:rRNA from 1 species